GCCUGGCUGACUCAGUCUGUGGAGCAUGUGACUCUUGAUCUCAAGGUUGUGGGUUUGAGCCCCACGUUGGGUG
rnacentral:tRNA from 1 species